rnacentral:rRNA from 1 species
UACGAAGGUGGCAAGCGUUACUCGGAAUUACUAGGCGUAAAGCGCAUGUAGGUGGUUAGGUAAGUCUGUGGUGAAAUCCUCCGGCUCAACUGGAGGGGGUCCAUAGAUACUACCUGGCUUGAGUGUGGGAAGGGAAGGCAGAAUUCCUGGUGUAGCGGUGAAAUGCGUAGAUAUCAGGAGGAAUACCGAUGGCGAAGGCGGCCUUCUGGCCCAAUACUGACACUGAGAUGCAAAAGCUAGGGGAG